GACGAACGCUGGCGGCGUGCCUAAUACAUGCAAGUCGAACGAGUGGCGGACGGGUGAGUAACACGUGGGAACCUACCCAUCAGAGGGGGAUAAAACUUGGAAACAGGUGCUAAUACCGCCUAUUGAUGGAUGGACACGCGGGGCAUUAGCUAGUUGGGGAGGUAACGGCUCACCUAGGCGACGAGCGCUAGCGGGUCUGAGAUGAUGAUCAGCCACACUGGGACUGAGACACGGCCCAGACUCCUACGGGAGGCAGCAGUGGGGAAUAUUGCACAAUGGGCGCAAGCCUGAUUCAGCCAUGCCGCGUGUAUGAAGAAGUCCUUAGGGUUGUAAAGUACUUUCAGCGGGGAGGCGUUACCCGCAGAAGAAGCACCGGCUAACUCCGUGCCAGCCGCCGCGGUAAUAC
rnacentral:rRNA from 1 species